GCAAAUGCUCAUGCAAAGUAUCUUGGGAUUUGUCCCAGGAGGCUCUGCAAGCUGGCAUGGUUCUUACGUAAGACGGACUGGGAAGAAGAGGCACCGCACACACAAUAAAUGGUUGACUUCUGCAAAGGUGGCAGUAGUUUGGAAACGUCUGAUUUAGUUAGCACUACUGAGCAAAGAGGAUGUUUAUCCGGAAUAGAGACUUGAUCCUUUGUUGAAUCUGGCAUGGGCAGCUGACAUUGAUGUUCCAGUUGACAUUUCUGUAAAUGAAGAGGGAACCCCAAAGGAAAACAAUGCAUCUGAAACCAACCCCAUAGAAGAUUCAGGGUCAAGUUCACCAUCUUCUGCUGAAGAAUCAUCUCCUCAUGAAGAUCCAGAAUCUUCUACAGAAGAGGAACCUGCUGAUGGUGAUCCAGAAUCUUCUACAGAAGAGGAACCUGCUGAUGGUGCUGCACCCUCUUGUACAGAAGUGCAACCUUCUGAUGAUGAUCAAGACCCUUCUGCUGAUGAAGCACCUUCUGAUGAUGAUUGGGAGCAAGCAGGAAGUGACAAUGAGAGUAAUUAUAUUGUAAAUAAAAUUUGGGAUCUGAUACUGUCAAUGCUAUUUAAGAGGCCAUUUCUGAUAUAGUCCUUAUUCCUGAAGAGCGAAUAUCCACCUUCUUCUCUAGAAGCAUUGGAAAUUGAAGUUUGGUCAUGACAUUAAUGAAUUGAAAUAAAUAAAACAACCUACCCUUUCUCAGCAA
rnacentral:lncRNA from 11 species